rnacentral:rRNA from 1 species
GGUCAAAUUAUUAAGGGCUUACGGUGGAUGCCUUGGGACCAAGGGCCGAUGAAGGGCGCGGUAAGGCUGCGAAAAGCCUCGAUGAGCCGUCUAACAGGCAUAGUCGGGGAUUCCCGAAUGGGGAAACCUGUUCCGGUGUUGAGCCGGUUCAUCUCGCAAUGCGAGAGGGUAAGCGGGGGAACUGAAACAUCUAAGUACCCCGAGGAAAGGAAAUCAACCGAGAUUCCCUAAGUAGUGGCGAACGAACGGGGAAGAGCCUAAACCGUUAUGACUUAACGGCGGGAAGGCCUAUGUCAUAGCGGGGUUAUAGGGAACGCCUGGGGUCGCUUCUCCAGACCCGAGGGAGUUACCAAUCUUGCUUCUAGCCGAAGGACCCUGGGAAGGGCCGUCAUAGAGGGUGAUAGCCCCGUAGGCGAAAGAGGCAGGACUUCCGGCGUUUACCUGAGUACCACGGGGCACGGGAAACCUUGUGGGAAGUCGGGGGGACCACCCUCCAAGGCUAAAUACUCUUGGUCACCGAUAGCGUACCAGUACCGUGAGGGAAAGGUGAAAAGAACCCCUAG